rnacentral:rRNA from 1 species
AUUGAACGCUGGCGGCAGGCCUAACACAUGCAAGUCGAGCGGCAGCGGGUCCUUCGGGAUGCCGGCGAGCGGCGGACGGGUGAGUAAUGCCUAGGAAUCUGCCUGGUAGUGGGGGAUAACGUUCGGAAACGGACGCUAAUACCGCAUACGUCCUACGGGAGAAAGUGGGGGAUCUUCGGACCUCACGCUAUCAGAUGAGCCUAGGUCGGAUUAGCUAGUUGGUGGGGUAAAGGCUCACCAAGGCGACGAUCCGUAACUGGUCUGAGAGGAUGAUCAGUCACACUGGAACUGAGACACGGUCCAGACUCCUACGGGAGGCAGCAGUGGGGAAUAUUGGACAAUGGGCGAAAGCCUGAUCCAGCCAUGCCGCGUGUGUGAAGAAGGUCUUCGGAUUGUAAAGCACUUUAAGUUGGGAGGAAGGGCAGUCAGUUAAUACCUGGUUGUUUUGACGUUACCAACAGAAUAAGCACCGGCUAACUUCGUGCCAGCCGCCGCGGUAACAC